GAAGAACCCUAACGUUCCCGGGCAAUGCCCGACGGAUGUUCCGGUUCUCUUGGAACAAAUGGAUGUCGCUUCGGCGAACAUCCGGUCGACAGAGCGGUGCAUGGCCGCCUUCGUUUCUCUUUCUUCGACAUGAAACUCGCACGCUUGAACCGGGCCUGUAGCUCAGGUGGUUAGAGCGCACGCCUGAUAAGCGUGAGGUCGGUAGUUCAACUCUACCCAGGCCCACCACUUCUGCCCCGCAUGGGGGCUCCAAGUGGAGCGGUGCGGUUCUGGCUGGCGCCAGCGUCGGGCUGCCCGUUCAGCCGUCUGUGCGCCGGAGUUUGGGGCCAUAGCUCAGCUGGGAGAGCGCCUGCUUUGCACGCAGGAGGUCGUCGGUUCGAUCCCGUCUGGCUCCACCAUUCGGUUGGCCGCGCUACGACCUGUCCAUGUCGAACACACGUUCCCGCCCCAUACCAGGGGUGGUUCCAUCUGCACAUCGUUAAGAGGGGACACGCCUAGUCCCGCUGCACAGGUCUUCUUGGUGCAGUGGGAUGGCUCUAGCCGGCAACCGACCGCGUUGCUCGGGUGCGUCUCAAAACUUCUGGUCAAAAUAUCUCUUGGCAGGCUCGCCUUGUGGUGAUCGCGAGAUCCCCGCUGGGUGCAUGGGCAUUGCUAAUGAGAAUGAUCAAGUGACUUAAGGGCAUCUGGUGAAUGCCUUGGCGCUGAGAGGCGAUGAAGGACGUGGUACGCUGCGAUAAGCCACGGGGAGCCGCGAACAGGCUUUGAUCCGUGGAUUU
rnacentral:misc_RNA from 1 species